GUCCACGCCGUAAACGAUGGCCACUCGGCCUUUGGCGGCGGAACCUCCGUCGCUGGGGGCCUUAGCUAACGCGGGAAGUGGCCCGCCUGGGAACUACGAGCGCAAGCUUAAAACUCAAAGGAAUUGACGGGGGCCCGCACAAGCAGCGGAGCGUGUGGUUUAAUUCGACGCAACGCGCAGAACCUUACCCAGGUUUGACAUGCACCUGCACGCGGCUGAAAGGCCGUCGCCUUCGAGGGUGGUGCACAGAUGCUGCAUGGCUGUCGU
rnacentral:rRNA from 1 species